UUGGAGUAAACCGAAAAUCCAUUAAUAGAGUAGGCA
rfam:Aquimarina spongiae strain DSM 22623 genome assembly, contig: Ga0070582_106